rfam:Trichobilharzia regenti genome assembly, scaffold: TRE_scaffold0102447
AUCUAACUGAUGAGUUCCAAAUAAGACGAAAUGUGCAUCCUAGCUGGAU